UAUGUGAUCGUCUCUCGCAUAUCAAUAAGCGGAGGAAAAGAAACUAACAAGGAUUCCCCUAGUAACGGCGAGUGAAGCGGGAAGAGCUCAAAUUUGAAAUCUUAAAGGGUUUCCCUUUACGAAUUGUAGUUUAAAGAAGUGUUUUCUGUUGAGGUUUUGGUAAAAGUUCUUUGGAAUAGGACAUCAUAGAGGGUGAGAAUCCCGUAUUUGACCUUUACUUUCAACUUUGUGAUACACUUUCAAAGAGUCGGAUUGUUUGGGAAUGCAGUCCAAAAUGGGUGGUAAAUUUCAUCUAAAGCUAAAUAUUGGCGAGAGACCGAUAGCGAACAAGUACCGUGAGGGAAAGAUGAAAAGAACUUUGAAAAGAGAGUUAAACAGUACGUGAAAUUGUCAAAAGGGAAGCGUUUGACACCAGUGUUGUUUUUCUGAAAAUCAAUUAAAGAACUGUUUAUGCUAAGCUGUUUAGACUUUAUCAGCUAUCUGUUUAGUUUUAGGCUUUUCUUUAAUGCACUUUUCAGUUAACAAGUCAACAUCAAUUUCUUUUGCUGUAAAAAAGCUUGAGGAAGGUGGCUUGAGAUUCGUCUUAAGUGUUUAUAGCCUCUUGCCUAUGCAGUCGGAGAGAUUGAGGUCUGCAGCGUAGAUCCUUCGGGGCUAAAUGCAUUUGUGCUAAGUUAUAGCAUUUUAUAGACAACUUGUUGACUAUGAUUUGUCUUGUAGCUUACUCGCUUAUGUUAUUUUACCUACGCUUAGGAUGUUGAUCUACAGAGCGAGAGU
rnacentral:rRNA from 1 species